rnacentral:rRNA from 1 species
UACAGAGGGUGCGAGCGUUAAUCGGAAUUACUGGGCGUAAAGCGUGCGUAGACGGUUAUUUAAGUCGGGUGUGAAAGCCCCGGGCUCAACCUGGGAAUUGCAUUCGAGACUGAAUAGCUAGGGUACGGUAGAGGGAAGCGGAAUUUCCGGUGUAGCGGUGAAAUGCGUAGAUAUCGGGAGGAACACCAGUGGCGAAGGCGGCUAUCUGGGCUGGAACUGACGCUGAGGCGCGAAGGCUAGGGGAGCAAACAGG